AUGACGACCGGCGCACGGGUGCGCACCGCGUAUGGAACCUGCCUUGUACAGGGGAAUAGCCCAGGGAAACUUGGAUUAAUGCCCCGUAGUACCGUAUUUCGGCAUCGUUAUACGGUUAAAGCCUUCGGGCGGUACAAGAUGGCCAUGCGUCCCAUUAGCUAGUUGGUAAGGUAACGGCUUACCAAGGCUACGAUGGGUAGGGGCCCUGAGAGGGGGAUCCCCCACACUGGUACUGAGACACGGACCAGACUCCUACGGGAGGCAGCAGUGAGGAAUAUUGGACAAUGGAGGAGACUCUGAUCCAGCCAUGCCGCGUGCAGGAAGAAUGCCCUAUGGGUAGUAAACUGCUUUUAUACGGGAAGAAAAAGAGCUACGUGUAGCUUACUGACGGUACCGUAAGAAUAAGGACCGGCUAACUCCGUGCCAGCAGCCGCGGUAAUACGGAGGGUCCGAGCGUUAUCCGGAAUUAUUGGGUUUAAAGGGUCCGUAGGCGGGCCGAUAAGUCAGGGGUGAAAGUCUGCCGCUCAACGGUAGAACUGCCUUUGAUACUGUCGGUCUUGAGUUAUAGUGAAGUUGCCGGAAUAUGUAGUGUAGCGGUGAAAUGCAUAGAUAUUACAUAGAACACCGAUUGCGAAGGCAGGUGACUAACUAUAUACUGACGCUGAUGGACGAAAGCGUGGGGAGCGAACAGGAUUAGAUACCCUGGUAGUCCACGCCGUAAACGAUGGAUACUAGCUGUCCGGAACCUUGAGUUCUGGGCGGCCAAGCGAAAGUGAUAAGUAUCCCACCUGGGGAGUACGUUCGCAAGAAUGAAACUCAAAGGAAUUGACGGGGGCCCGCACAAGCGGUGGA
rnacentral:rRNA from 1 species